UAUAAUGUUUGACGCUCCGUCUUAUUUUGAAUUUUUUUGUGAUUAAUAUUUUUUUAUUAGAUGAUAAAACAUAAAUAGUACUUUACGGGUGACUACUUUUUUAAGUUUUUCUAUAAAAUUUUCAAAUAAGAUGAUGUUCAAACGUUGGAUGC
rnacentral:pre_miRNA from 1 species